AUGGGUUCUUGUUGUAGUGACUGGCUAGCGAACCUAGUCAUGGUACCGAAGAAGGAUAAAUCCUGGCGCCUGUGUGUCGAUUUCAAAGACCUUAAUAAGGCCUGCCCUAAGGACCCCUUCCCACUACCUCACAUCGACCAGAUUAUUGACGCAACCGCAGGACACAAUUCACUGUGUUUCCUCGACGCAUACUCCGGAUACCAUCAAAUUAAGAUGAAAGAAUCCGACCAGGCCGCAACAGCAUUCAUCACCCCGUACGGGCCCUUCUGUUUCAACACUUUGCCUUUCGGGCUCAAGAACGCCGGUGCCACUUACCAGCGCAUGAUUCAAACAUGCCUGGAAAAGCAAAUCGGCAAGACCGUGGAGGCAUAUGUCGAUGACGUAGUCAUCAAAACCAAACAUGUUGAAUCCUUGGUGAAUGAUUUAUGCCUUAUAUUCGACAACCUCCGAACAUAUGACAUACGGCUCAAUCCGGAAAAGUGCAUUUUCGGCAUCCCUGCCGGAAAACUGCUUGGGUUCAUUGUCUCCAAUAGAGGAAUCGAAGCAAACCCAGCCAAAAUCCGAGCCUUGACACAAGUGGCAACACCAACAGACCUCAAGCAGGUCCAAAAACUAGUCGGGUGCGUGGCAGCUUUGAGCCGUUUUAUCUCCAGACUAGGAGAAAAGGCAUUGCCAUUGUAUCACCGGCUUCGACGCACCGACCACUUCGCGUGGACGGACGCUGCCACAGCCGGAUUGGAAGAAAUAAAAACUUUGUUAGCAAGCAACCCAAUCCUGGCCGCACCAAACGUCGGCGAGGCGAUGUUGCUCUACAUAUCUGCAACCCACCAGGUGGUGAGUGUGGUGCUCGUCGUUGAACGAGAGGAAGAGAGACAUAAAUUCCCACUCCAAAAACUAGUAUACUAUGCAUCGACGGUCCUCACACCAUGCAAAUCCCGAUACCCGCAUUAUCAAAAGAUAGCCUAUGCGGUCUUUAUGGCAUCCCGCAAGCUGCGGCACUACUUUAAGAGUGCUCAAUCACGGUGGCUUCCGAAGUACCACUCAAUGAUAUUAUAA
rnacentral:rRNA from 1 species